UACGGAGGAUGCGAGCGUUAUCCGGAUUUAUUGGGUUUAAAGGGUGCGUAGGCGGGUUAUCAAGUCAGCGGUAAAAUCGUGGAGCUCAACUCCAUCCAGCCGUUGAAACUGAUGAUCUUGAGUGGGCGAGAAGUAUGCGGAAUGCGUGGUGUAGCGGUGAAAUGCAUAGAUAUCACGCAGAACUCCGAUUGCGAAGGCAGCAUACCGGCGCCCGACUGACGCUGAAGCACGAAAGCGUGGGUAUCGAACAG
rnacentral:rRNA from 1 species